CWAAGUWKCUUGGCGUAWYCWUGGKCAUAYUGGGCWCGUGCCCARCACUUGCCCKGCGACCGGAWCCAGGCUUUCACUAUUUGCUUAUCGAAUAUUGAKGAAAUUGUGAAAGUGCUGACGACCGCCRGACGGYWGAAUGMCKCGYAKGAAUAUWCCCCRAAGUGAGGGAUAACUGCCGGARWGGGUGGGUAAUUCCGCAUAUUAUCUUAGGAUUAAAGCUUUAGCGCUUUGGGAAUAGCCUGCGUUCGAUUAGCUAGUUGGUGAGGUAAUAGCUCACCAAGGCGACGAUCGAUAGCUGGUCUGAGAGGAUGAUCAGCCUGACUGGAACUGAGACACGGUCCAGACUCCUACGGGAGGCAGCAGUAGGGAAUUUUCCACAAUGGGCGAAAGCCUGAUGGAGCAACGCCGCGUGCAGGAUGAAGGCCUUAGGGUCGUAAACUGCUUUUAUGUGCGAAGAAUUUGACGGUAACACAUGAAUAAGGGUCGGCUAACUACGUGCCAGCAGCCGCGGUCAUACGUAGGACCCAAGCGUUAUCCGGAAUUACUGGGCGUAAAGAGUUGCGUAGGUGGCAUAGUAAGUGGAGUGUGAAAGCGUGUGGCUCAACCAUACAGCUGCAUUCUAAACUGCUAAGCUUGAGUACGAGAGAGGUAGAUGGAAUUCCCAGUGUAGGAGUGAAAUCCGUAGAUAUUGGGAAGAACACCGAUGGCGUAAGCAGUCUACUGGCUCGUUACUGACACUAAGCACGAAAGCGUGGGGAGCAAACGGAAUUAGAUACCCCGGUAAUCCACGCUGUAAACGAUGGAUGCUAGCUAUUGUUCACAUCGACCUGAACAGUAGCGCAGUUAACGCGUUAAGCAUCCCGCCUGGGGAGUACGGUCGCAGAUUAAACUCAAAGGAAUUGACUGGGACYCGCACAAGCGGUKGAGCGUGUGUUUAAUUCGAGCUAAGCGAAGAACCUUACCCAGACUUGACUUCCUAUGAGGUCUGGCGAAAGCCGGAUGUGCCUUCGGAACAUAUGACAGGUGAUGCAUGUCGUCGUCAGCUCGKUCUKGAAAUGUAUGUAAGUCCAUACGAGCGCACCCUUGGUUCAUGGAUUUUCGACGACUGCUGUACGAGGAGGAGAUWAGUCAGUUCGWWUUCCUUACGUYGUGGGGUCCA
rnacentral:rRNA from 1 species